CACCCAUUAUGACUUCACUUCAUCACUUCCAUCUUCACUCUCCAAGCAACACUUUCACAUCUUUGCUAUUUCCAACCAACCACCAGCAGAAACCUCACAAAAAAUCACCUAUCCAAGCUAGCUAUCCACUGGUGCAAGCAUUGCACCAUGAAAAGGUUCGGCAAAACAGUUUCGGGGGCAUUUAAAAGAGUCACGAGGUCAUCCUCGAAGCGC
rnacentral:lncRNA from 1 species